ACGUUCCUCUUGGGAAGACAGGUGUGAUAUCAGGGGACAGGUGAGUGAUAAAUUCAGCUCUCAGGCUGGGAGCCAAAUCAUGUUUGAAACAGUUUCUGUCCACCUUACAAGCUUUGGUGUGGAUGGGGCAUGAGUGAAAGUAAGGGCAACAGCAAAAUCUAGCAUCACAGCCAGGAAAACCGUGAAUAACAGGAAAGAGACUUGAAAGUGAAGUGUGUUUGUGUUCUAAGAGAAUUGCAGAAACCUUAACAGGCCAACACAGCUGAGAGGACUUAACCGGCUCUAACUAAAAGUGGGCAGGUGAUUGGGUGUUUGAUACAUUCCUUUGGGAAUUUCUGGAGAGUCGGGAACUUAGAAGAGUUUGGUGUUUGAAAAUGUUUCUUUACCCGGAGGUGGGGUCCAGGGAUGGCCGUUAGGAAGCGUGACUUCAAGGUUUACUACCGGCUGCCGGGCUCCUCCUUUCUUCAGUCCAGUAGUGGGCAAAGGGUACAAAAAAAGGAUGUUUGGGCAGAGAAAUGAGAAUUGAAAACAAAGGAGACCACCAGGUAACUCCUGCUUUCAAGACUCAGCUCACCUGACAUCUCCCCACGCCCUGUGUCUGCCCCGCCGGACAGUGUUGUACUUAUUGAUUUGUCCCCUGAGGGCAGAGGCUCUGACUCCCAGGUACUCCCAGAUCCCAUCACAGGCCUGAUCCCAGUAAAUACUUGGUUAGGUGUUUGUGGAAUGAGAAAGAUGGACAGAAAAAGGAAAAGGCGGACGAAGGAAGAGGAAACCGAGGAGGAGGAAAGAAAAAGAAGGGAUUGAGCGAAGCUUUGGGAAGCCAGCUUUUCACAGUUCCAAGAACAGUUUCCAAAAUCCUUCUAACUCAGGUCCUAUUAAGCAGUCCGGCUUUCCAGCUUCCUUGAUUGCACAUGUGUAGCAAAACUCAAUGACAUCUGAGUCUGACUAAAAUGUAACCCUUUCCCGGGCAUCGGCUGUGGCCACUGGAGCUUAAAUACAGAAGACAUAGCUGUCUAGUCUCUAGCUUGGCAUUGAUUCCUUUCGUGUUUGAAGCCAGCUGAAAGACGAAGCAGGCAGGGCACAUGUCAGAACAGACGUUGUCCCCCCUCGCUCAGAACCAAGAGGCUGAUUCCUCAGCUGGCCACCUCCGAGGAGAGGAACGGAAGCCACAGGGCGGGGGGCUGGCUGACGCUGCAUUCCUCAAACCUACAGCCAGGGGAUUGUGUUAUUUCAGCCAUGCUUCGUUAGAUGGCAAAUAUGUGAGCGGCUUUAUGAGGAUCUGGGACAUUGUCGAGUCUUCGAGUUCACAGCUGAGCUGCUCCCACCCGAAUUAACCACUCCCGCCAGGCGCUGUUUGGGGUGCAGGCCGUGGGGGCACUCUGAUCCCUCAGCACCGCUAGGUUCCGAGGGUUGUCGAGACAAGAAAAAUCUCACUAAAGGCUACGCUUCUAAAAACCCUGGGCCAACUCUUACCCCAAACUUCUGGCUGCAAUGACAGUUAUACAACAGUUGCGCCAGGAGUGGCCUUGCCCCUCUGCCACCGCCAGCGGAGAGAGGGCGUCUCAGGUCUCACUCUCAUGGAGGACCAAAAACCGAAGUUUUGAAUGUCACUUUGCCAGUGGGAACACAAAAUGCGACUUCGGUCCAAAUAGUAACCUUUGGGCUAGCGUUUCUGCUCUUAUAAAUCUCAAACGUUGCUUGCUGUCUGCUUCGUGUCCCAGAUUCCUGCAUAAGUCUGUGGACUGCAUCAAAACACUUUUGAACAUAGAGACCGGGUGUGGUGACUUUGUAGGUUGUCUACUCAGCUGCAUUGAACUAAGUUUCCCAGAAUUCCCUUCCCUCCGUGGUUCCGGAUGACAUUUGGGAGGCCACUGUGAGGCAGCUGCUACUUUUAUGCUCUGAAGGUCUUGUGUAGGCACCAGGCACCCUGGCAGCUCUCAUCUCCUGUUAAGCAGCUGCUGGCCUACCUCUUGGCGUGGGGCUACAGCUCCUCCAGAACCUGGAACAGGUAUAUGGGCAACUCUGACAAAGGGCCCCAGCUGCUUCUGCAGGUCACUCACAUCCUGAAGGCUGGAGACGGCGAGACAUACAGUUCCUAAGGAAGGUUUCUUUGGGGCCUCAGAGUCAUGCUGGGCUCAAGGUCAACUUUGGUGGUGUUUACAUUUAUAAUGCAGUGAAGGCACUGAUGGGAAACUCACUGAGAAACAUUGACAAUGCAAGACUGGUGACACAGAAGGAAACUGAGGCAGCGAUCAGCAAAAGUCGAACGUGGGACCUCGACUCAGAGCCAAGUUUCCAAAGCUUGGGCAUAAUCUCUCUUCUUCUCAGUUGAAAGUGACUUUUUAGGAGGGUGUGACUGGAGGCCUGAACAGAUGUGUCUGCUGUGCCAGGGGAUGGUUUCCCCUGAAGACCCUCUCUGCUAACACACGAGCCUUCCUCCAGCAGUGGGCCCCAGCCCUGGCGCAUUGACAGACUCCAGGAGGGAGACGCACCGGGAUGGAUGCGGAGAGCUGACUCCGUCGUUGUUCACGCUGAGAUCAUACUUGGGGGUCCCAACCAAGAACCCCAAAUCUUUGAGCAAGCCCCUACUAUGAAGAUAAACCCUGAGGGAGAUGCACAUAGAUAUACAUGCAGGGGAAUAAAUUAUACUCCUAAUUGGGUCUUUGGCCGCAAGCCCCCGAAUCGUCUUCUAGGAGGAGCCAGGUUUUUUACAGGCUAUAGAAAGGUCUAGAGCCUUAGUGAAAACCUGGCUGAGGGUGGCCUGCACCUUCGUCUGAGCCCUCUAGACUUUAUGAUUCUUGAGGAGAGGAAAGAUAAAUCAAAGAAACAAAGGAGGGAGGCCGUUUGCCCCAUUCAAGCUCCCUCUGACAACUUUGUCCUGCUGCAUCUUUGCUCAGUCCACAGUCCAGGCAUCUCCUUCUCACGAUGGGGAGGUGGGCAGGGGUCCCAAGGCUCUCCUGGGGUCCAAGGAUGGUGACAUGGAAAAACUGUGAAAACCUACAACAUGUACAUAAACUCCCUGCCAGGGCCGGUUACAUAAUUUGUGGGGCCCCGUACAAAAUGAAAAUAUGGAGUCUGCUGUUCAAAUGCAGGGGGAAGAAUAUCUUUAAAAGUACUAAAAUAUAAAGCUUUUUCACUUCAUCCAUGGGCUCUCUCUAUUUGCCAUGGUGGUUUUUAUUUGCUAUAUAAUGUUCUAAGUAAAGAAAAAUUAACAUUUUAAAUUAUUAGCAUGAAUUUUACCAUUCAUCUCUAUAUCACACAAUACUUGUUUUAAAUGCAAACAUAAGAGCAUUUAACUCAUAUGUAGAGUCACUGAAAUUAUGUAGUUCAUAUUUCAUAGCUUGUACAUGCCUGUGUAUUUCAUCCUUACCACACCCGAGGAGACACUGCACAGAACUUGUGCAAUUGUUUUUAUUUCGCAUCUUGCUGUGCACACGUUCUACCGAUACUCUCUGCCUUCAGCUUACUGAGGAAUAGGAAGGACUGAAAGGAAAAGGAGCUAUGAUUUGACCUCUUUCCCUGUCCUUCUACGUCUUCCUCUCUCCUUCUUCCUUCCUUCUGUAAGGACACUGUCUGGACCUUGGCUGCCCUCCUGGCUCUUCGGGUGGCUGUCCUGGGAGAAGGCUGAUGUCUGCAGGCUCCAGACACUGCCCGUGCUGCAGGCCUUACAGAUGCCCAGGAACCUCAGCCCUGAGCCAUGUCUCUGUGGAAUGUUCCCCCUUCCCAAUUCUGUCUCCUGUUUUGUCAUUAAAAUAGUGGUAAAGUAGUUAGCGUGAUGGAGCAUUUAUUACACUAGACACGUACAUAACCG
ensembl:lncRNA